rnacentral:lncRNA from 1 species
CGGUAAAACCACACGAACCCUAUUACAUCACCAAGCCCUCACCGUUUCCAGCACCCAGGGUCUCUACAAAGAGGCAAGCUGGGACUGAAAUCUCUCCCGAGUGUGGAAGACGGACGGGAGCAGCAGCCGGACAGCACAGCUCAAGGCCGAGAGGCUCACUGGGUGACUCGGGCCGCUUUGGGGUGGCUGUGAGAAGCGAAGGGAGGCUGACUCGGGGUGUGGUGGGGAGUGAAGCCACCACCUUAUUGCCUAGGCCUUCCCUUGAUGCACUUGGAAAAUAAGUUGCUCUUUCUUCACCGGGUGGGGACAUUAAUUAAUGUUUGCAAAAGUCUUUAUGAUCCUUGUCAAAAGGUGUUCGGCCGGCUCUAAUUAUCCAGGUUUCAGCUGCCACCGCUUCCAUCUCAGCACAGCAUCUCUGCCCUGGAAGAUGUCAAACAAGAUUGCUGUUGUCAGGAUGUGCAUCCAGCUCAUGUGGAUUUCUAUCUGCAUCUCCAAAUACUGCCCAGAUUCCAAAGCCCUGCAAGGGGAUGGUAUCUUGUUUGGGGAGAUGAGACCUGUGCCCCGCCCAGCUCCACCCCGUAAGAAGGCAGCUGCCUGGGAGGUAUAAUUUGAUAAGUUUCUGGAAGGACUCACACAUCCAAAACCAACUCCCCAUGUCUUCUCAUGGGGGCCGGAAAUUCCUCCACUAAAAAUUCACUCCUUCACGGG